rnacentral:tRNA from 2 species
GCUUGCGUGGCGUAAUUGGUAGACGCGCGAUCCUUAGGAGUUCGUGUUAAUUCGUGUGGGUUCGAGUCCCUCCGCAAGCA